rnacentral:rRNA from 1 species
UACGUAGGGGGCUAGCGUUGUCCGGAAUCAUUGGGCGUAAAGAGCGCGUAGGCGGCCAGAUAAGUCCGGUGUGAAAGUCAAAGGCUCAACCUUUGAAUGCCGCUGGAAACUGUCUGGCUAGAGUCCGGGAGGGGCGAGUGGAAUUCCUGGUGUAGCGGUGAAAUGCGCAGAUAUCUGGAGGAACACCGGUGGCGAAGGCGGCAUCCUGGACCGGUAUUGACGCUGAGGAGCGAAAGCCAGGGGAGCAAACGGG